UGUCCCAUAAAUACCCAAAUUUUUCCGGCACUUUUCUGAAUCCAAGAUGACGGAAAAGUGCCGGAAAAAUUUGGGUAUUUAUGGGACA
rnacentral:pre_miRNA from 1 species